AUUGCCUGGCUGCUAGAGGAAACCCGAAGUCGGGAUUCUUUCUUUCCUGCUCUGAGAGGGACCAGGUCCCUCCUCCGUAGCUUUUGUCUCUCUAUUGCCUGCGCCGUGUCCUGGACUGCUCACGGGAGUUCUGCAGGAGACGCCGGAAUAUCUGGAAGCUGAAAAAUGGAAAUAAAUGGAAAGACCAGAAUAUUGAAGAUCACUACAGAAAUCUAAGGAUGAAAUCAACAGCCAAUCUGGGUGCCAUUGAGACAUCUAAAGCCUUACUAUGAGCCAGAUACCCAGGAAGAGGUUUUGGGAGGAUCCCAAAGACUCCCUGGUUGCAGCCAUGUCAAGACUGAUGCUGAGGAGGACCCCAACUGUCACGAGCAACAACUGCCUGGGGACAGAUCAAGAAGCUGUCACAGAUGGCAGAGAAAAACCUGAGAAAAGCGGGACAACCAGUCACAAUGAGUAAUUUAAUGAUAGCUAUGACAGUGGUGAUCACCAUUGCCAUGAGUAUUCCUUCAACAAGGGCUGACACAGAGAACAAUUACACUUAUUGGGCAUAUUUAUCAAUCUUGGCUGGCAAUAAUGCCUGGAUGUGAUCACUCUAUGACACAGUUACACAUGCUUUCUGGUCUCAGUAUUUACCAUAAUAAUCUGCUCCUAUAAUUGAGGCAUACUGCCCUCAAAAAACUAUUUGUAAACAGGAUUGGACCUGGUCAGAAAAAAUGAACGUACUUGUUUGGGAAGAUUGCAUUGCAGAACAGGCAGAGGUGCUGCACAACGAUUCCUAUGGAGUCAUUAUUGAUUGUUCCCCUAAGGGGAUGUUUAGCUUGAAUUGCACCUCUCAGUCUGCCUGCCAUGGCCACACUAUGUUCAGCUGGUCUGAACAAAAUGGUCAGAUGGUAGAAAUGAUAAGAAGUAUGGCAAGAGUUCCUAUUAUCUGGAAACAUGGUGGUAUAGUGGCACCUCAACCUCAAAUGAUAUGGCCUGCUGUAGGAGCUAAACAUAAGGAUUUGUGGAAACUAUUAAUGGCUCUUAAUAAGAUCAAAAUUUGGGAAAGGAUAAAAAAGCAUCUAGAAGGACACUCUAGAAACUUGGAUAUUGCAAAAUUAAAAGAACAAAUAUUUAAAGCAUCCCAGGCACACCUGACCUUAAUGCCAGGAACUGGAGUGCUUGAAGGAGCUGCAGAUGGAUUAGCAGCUAUUAACCCAUUAAAAUAGAUAAAAACAC
rnacentral:lncRNA from 1 species